rnacentral:rRNA from 1 species
GACGAACGCUGGCGGCGUGCUUAACACAUGCAAGUCGAACGGUGACCUGAGGUGCUUGCACCUUGGUGAUCAGUGGCGAACGGGUGAGUAACACGUGAGGAACCUGCCCCAGACUCUGGAAUAACCCCGGGAAACCGGAGCUAAUACCGGAUAUGACAUCAGGCCGCAUGGUCAUGGUGUGGAAAGUUUUUCGGUCUGGGAUGGCCUCGCGGCCUAUCAGCUUGUUGGUGAGGUAGUGGCUCACCAAGGCGACGACGGGUAGCCGGCCUGAGAGGGCGACCGGCCACACUGGGACUGAGACACUGCCCAGACUCCUACGGGAGGCAGCAGUGGGGAAUAUUGCACAAUGGGCGAAAGCCUGAUGCAGCGACGCCGCGUGAGGGAUGACGGCCUUCGGGUUGUAAACCUCUUUCAGUAGGGAAGAAGCGCAAGUGACGGUACCUACAGAAGAAGCACCGGCUAACUACGUGCCAGCCGCCGCGGUAACAC